CCUACGGGAGGCAGCAGUGAGGAAUAUUGGUCAAUGGGCGGAAGCCUGAACCAGCCAUGCCGCGUGCAGGAUGACGGCCCUACGGGUUGUAAACUGCUUUUGCACGGGAAGAAUAACCCCCUCGUGAGGGGGGAUGCCGGUACCGUGCGAAUAAGGAUCGGCUAACUCCGUGCCAGCAGCCGCGGUAAUACGGAGGAUCCGAGCGUUAUCCGGAUUUACUGGGUUUAAAGGGUGCGUAGGCGGGCGCCUAAGUCAGCGGUGAAAGGCAGCGGCUCAACCGUUGAACUGCCGUUGAAACUGGGCGCCUUGGAUUCGGUCGGGGCCGGCGGAAUGCGUGGUGUAGCGGUGAAAUGCUUAGAUAUCACGCGGAACGCCGAUCGCGAAGGCAGCUGGCCAGGCCGAGAUCGACGCUGAGGCACGAAAGCGUGGGGAUCAAACA
rnacentral:rRNA from 1 species